rnacentral:rRNA from 1 species
UACGUAGGUGGCAAGCGUUACUCGGAAUCACUAGGCGUAAAGCGCAGGUAGGCGGUUUGGUAAGUCUUUUGUGAAAGCUCCCGGCUCAACUGGGAGAGGUCAAGGGAAACUACCAGGCUAGAGUGUGGCAGAGGAAGCUAGAAUUCCCGGUGUAGCGGUGAAAUGCGUAGAUAUCGGGAGGAAUACCUAUGGCGAAAGCAGGCUUCUGGGCCGUCACUGACGCUGAUCUGCGAAAGCUAGGGGAGCGAACGGG